AUUCUUUUAGUAUCACUUAGUACAAUUGACUUCCAAUCAAUCAGCUUCGGUAAUAACCCGAAAAAGAAUA
rnacentral:tRNA from 2 species